GCGGAUGUAUCAAUUUGAUUGUAAUAUACGAAAUGAAUUCGGAAUUACGAUACGAUAUUUCUUUACAGGAUAUAUUUAAGUUUUUACUUUUAAACUUUUAAAGUAAUUCUAAAUUAUCGUUAGUUACAGCAGUACUCGAGUUAUUUGCGAUGAAAUAAUAUUUACUGUUUUGCGUCUUAUUUUGUACUUCUUAAAAAAGGGGGAUGCUGAUUGCGUAAGUCAAAAUAAGGCACGUGUUCGACUUGUUAAACUGUUUUCUUUGUAACUGGAUUAUUAAUUUAUUUAUUUAAUCUAAAUUAUCAUAAUCAUUUGCUGAAACUUAGUUGAUUAAUUCGACAAAUUGAUCUUCUAUCCUCAGAUAUUAUUCUCCUGUCUGGUUUCUUGAUCUACCUGUACAAGCUCAGGUACAAGUGAUUAGCGAUCUUAAUCCGAAUAUCCCUCAGGCGUUAGAACUGUAUUGGAUUAUAACAUAAAAAGCCUAAGGGUUAUGCAAUUACAUGCAUUUGAUUAUAAUUGAUAAAAAAAUGGCGUCGGGCUACAAAAAACGAUGAAGUUUUGAACGAUGGCGGAAGACAAUUUAACGAUGGCGCAAGACAAUUUAACGAUGGCGCGAGUCAUUUGACGAUGGCGCAAGACAUUUGAACGAUGGCGGAGCGCCAUCGUUAAACAGGCCAUGGAGAUCCCUGGUGUAUAGAAAAUUUCAUUUUAAUAUUUACCAAUUUGUUUACAUUUGAUGUUGAUAGCAAGGCUAAUGGCUGGUGCACCAAAAUAGAUUUUCAUAAUUGGCUCUAUUUCCACUAAUUUGAAGAAAAAAAAAAGAAAAAAAAACCUGAAAAUUGCAACAGCAAUUAAAGUGUCCAUUUAAAGCUGAUAUUAAUUUAUAGCUUUUGUAAAAAACACAGCCUUUUCUUUAAUAUAUGUUGCCCUCCUAGAAGGAAGAUGGAUUCAUGGAAGAUAGGAAGAGUCAACAUGUA
rnacentral:lncRNA from 1 species